UACGUAGGGUGCGAGCGUUAAUCGGAAUUACUGGGCGUAAAGCGUGCGCAGGCGGUUUUGUAAGCCAGAUGUGAAAUCCCCGGGCUUAACCUGGGAAUGGCCAUGGAAACUGGCGAGCUGGAGUGUGGCAGAGGAGGGUGGAAUUCCGCGUGUAGCAGUGAAAUGCGUAGAGAUGCGGAGGAACACCGAUGGCGAAGGCAGCCCUCUGGGCUAACACUGACGCUGAGGCACGAAAGCGUGGGGAGCAAACAGG
rnacentral:rRNA from 1 species